AUUCCAGCUCCAAUAGCGUAUAUUAAAGUUGUUGCGGUUAAAAAGCUCGUAGUUGGAUUUCUGUUGAGGACGACCGGUCCGCCCUCUGGGUGAGUAUCUGGCUCGGCCUUGGCAUCUUCUUGGAGAACGUAACUGCACUUGACUGUGUGGUGCGGUAUCCAGGACUUUUACUUUGAGGAAAUUAGAGUGUUUCAAGCAGGCGUACGCCUUGAAUACAUUAGCAUGGAAUAAUGAGAUAGGACCUUGGUUCUAUUUUGUUGGUUUCUAGAGCUGAGGUAAUGAUUAAUAGGGAUAGUUGGGGGCAUUCGUAUUUAAUUGUCAGAGGUGAAAUUCUUGGAUUUAUUAAAGACGGACUACUGCGAAAGCAUUUGCCAAGGAUGUUUUCAUUG
rnacentral:rRNA from 1 species